rnacentral:rRNA from 1 species
GACGAACGCUGGCGGCGUGCCUAAUACAUGCAAGUAGAACGCUGAAGGGAGGAGCUUGCUCUUCUUGGAUGAGUUGCGAACGGGUGAGUAACGCGUAGGUAACCUGCCUUGUAGCGGGGGAUAACUAUUGGAAACGAUAGCUAAUACCGCAUAACAAUGGAUGACACAUGUCAUUUAUUUGAAAGGGGCAAUUGCUCCACUACAAGAUGGACCUGCGUUGUAUUAGCUAGUAGGUGAGGUAAUGGCUCACCUAGGCGACGAUACAUAGCCGACCUGAGAGGGUGAUCGGCCACACUGGGACUGAGACACGGCCCAGACUCCUACGGGAGGCAGCAGUAGGGAAUCUUCGGCAAUGGGGGCAACCCUGACCGAGCAACGCCGCGUGAGUGAAGAAGGGUUUCGGAUCGUAAAGCUCUGUUGUAAGUCAAGAACGGGUGUGAGAGUGGAAAGUUCACACUGUGACGGUAGCUUACCAGAAAGGGACGGCUAACUACGUG